rnacentral:rRNA from 1 species
GACGAACGCUGGCGGCGUGCUUAACACAUGCAAGUCGAACGGCAAGGCACUGCUUUUGUGGGGUGCUCGAGUGGCGAACGGGUGAGUAACACGUGAGUAACCUGCCCUUGACUUUGGGAUAACUUCAGGAAACUGGGGCUAAUACCGGAUAGGAGCUCCUGCUGCAUGGUGGGGGUUGGAACGUCUCGGCGGUUGGGGAUGGAUGCGCGGCUUAUCAGCUUGUUGGUGGGGUAGUGGCUUACCGAGGCUUUGACGGGUAGCCGGCCUGAGAGGGGGACCGGCGACAUGGGGACUGAGAUAGGGCGCAGACUCCAACGGGAGGCAGCAGGGGGGAACAUUGCACAAUGGGCGGAAGCCUGUGGCAGCAACGCCGGGUGCGGGAUGACGGCCUUCUGGGUGUAAACCGCUGUCGCCUGUGACGAAGCGGGAGUGACGGUAAUGGGUAAAUAAGCACCGGCUAACUUCGUG